rnacentral:lncRNA from 1 species
GAGCUAUGCUGAGUUCAUGGUUUGAUUGACCACCUGCUCAUUUUGGUGACAGCAUCUUGUCCUUUACCCUUUGUCAUUUUGAAUGACUGUUGAGUUGCCAGAUUCUGUCUACUGAUCCUCUCACCCCUGAGUUCCAGCUAUCCAGCAAGGGUUCAAGACCUCAGCUCAACUAGAGAUCAAGCUGUCUGCACAUAGCCCAUUGCCACACAAUGGGGAAAGGAAGUAAAUUGAUGAGCUUACUCCAGAUGAGUCUCCAUUCAAAAUCAAGAAAUAGCCCACUCUCUAUGAUGUAGAACUAUCUGGAAGAGCUCAAUUCUGGACUUGCCAAUAUGAUGUUCUACCUGCUGCUUUGAUAAAUUGGUAUGAUGUGACAGAGUGAACUUGGAGAUCACAGAGGGCAGCCAGGGUUUACCUAUGGGUGUUGUUAAUAAACCUGUAGUGACAAUUAACAUCAUCCAGAACUGAACAAUCUAAAUAACUUACAGCUCACAAAUUGUAUUACUGGUCCACAUAUCAGGAGCUUACAGAAAUCAAACUGCAGAGACUUGGUGGCUUCAUUCAGACAAUCUUAAAAGCCAAAGAGGAAAUAACUAUUGUGAAUUCAGUGCUCAAUGGAAAGGGACUCCUCCUCCUCAGCACACAUCUGUGUAACUCGAUCCCACUUGCAAUGAGAAGCCUCAAAGACACACUUGAGCAAAUG